GAUGAAGAACGCAGCGAAGUGCGAUAAGUAAUGUGAAUUGCAGAAUUCCGUGAAUCAUCGAAUCUUUGAACGCAAAUUGCACUUUUUGGUAUCCCGAAAAGUAUGCCUGUUUGAGGAUCAGUAUAACAAAAAUCGGUAUGUUGCUUUUUUUUGUAACGUUCCGGAGUUUGGGUUAUCUUAAACAAAAUUUUAGUUUAAGAAACUUAAAAUUAACCAUCUUUUUGCGCAUUUUUAGAUGUACAAUAAAUUAUUUAUUUCGUCUAUAUAUUAUCAUGCCAAAAUUUUAUUAGAUGCGACCAUAUCGAGUGGUUUCGUGCCUAUAAAUUUAUCAUAAUUUGACCUCAAAUCAGGUAAGAAUACCCGCUGAACUUAAGCAUAUCAAUAAGCGGAGGA
rnacentral:misc_RNA from 1 species